AGGUGUGUGUGGUGAAGCUGGCAGCAGGUGUGCUGCAUCAUAAUCAGCAGACGAGCUCCAGUUUAUCGGCCUGGACAGAAGGUGUGUGUGGUGAAGCUGGCAGCAGGUGUGCUGCAUCGUAAUCAGCGGACGAGCUUCAGAAAGCAGAUUCCUGCCUGCUGAGUUGCCUGGGUUCCUUCGUCUGCUGGUUUUCUGCCCUACCACGGACUCUGUCUUCUUCUCCGGAGGAUCUCCACCUAUUGCCAGCUUAACCUGGGAACAGCAACGUACACCUGGCAAGAGGACUUUCUCUGGGAACAUCUGCCACGACCAGGUUCUACUGAUGUCAACUUACCAAGCACAUGGCAAACACUGGGAGGGAGAGUUCUGGAUGAAGUCAAACCAAAAGGACUGUUCUCAGCUCAUCAGUUAAGUCUCCAAACCCUAGUAUCACCAGACUCUUUGUAUUGUUAAUACGUCAAAUUAAAUGAUCAGCAUUCCGUAUUUAACUUAAUGUCUUUUAUGUUUUGCGUAGGAUGGCUUUAGUCUGGGGUUUCAGCUCAUAAUUACUGGUAGUCUAGGCUGGGUUAGUUUUGUAUUUUCAGUUGUUUCCCUACCUUGGUCUUGCCAUAUGUGGGUUAACAUUAGUUUGUUUCCAUGUUCAUGUAGUUACUCCUCCGUACCUCUAGAUGGUUUUUGUUUUUUAGUUCUAGUAGUAUAGUUCUUUGUCUAAGAUCCUGGUUCCUGUAUAGAGUUUCUUGUUGUGAAUAAAAGCAUUUUUAAAAUGUU
ensembl:lncRNA